rnacentral:rRNA from 1 species
AGUCUGCAACCCGACUCCACGAAGUUGGAUUCGCUAGUAAUCGCGCAUCAGCCAUGGCGCGGUGAAUACGUUCCCGGGUCUUGUACACACCGCCCGUCACACCAUGGGAGUCGGAAAUGCCCGAAGUCUGUGACCCAACCUACGGGAGGGAGCAGCCGAAGGCAGGUCGGAUGACUGGGGUGAAGUCGUAACAAGGUACC